UCCUUCUCAGCUUUUGAUUGUUGCUCAGAAGGCGUGGCAAUCUGACAAGCCUUCGAGUGACUAUCAAAUCUUGUGGAGAC
rnacentral:pre_miRNA from 1 species